rnacentral:rRNA from 1 species
AGAGUUUGAUCCUGGCUCAGGAUGAACGCUGGCGGCGUGCCUAACACAUGCAAGUCGAGCGAUCUUCUUCGGAAGAGAGCGGCGGACGGGUGAGUAACGCGUGGGUAACCUGCCCUGUACACACGGAUAACAUACCGAAAGGUAUGCUAAUACGAGAUAAUAUGCUUUUAUCGCAUGGUAGAAGUAUCAAAGCUCCGGCGGUACAGGAUGGACCCGCGUCUGAUUAGCUAGUUGGUAAGGUAACGGCUUACCAAGGCGACGAUCAGUAGCCGACCUGAGAGGGUGAUCGGCCACAUUGGAACUGAGACACGGUCCAAACUCCUACGGGAGGCAGCA